rnacentral:rRNA from 1 species
UACGUAGGGGGCAAGCGUUGUCCGGAAUCAUUGGGCGUAAAGCGCGUGUAGGCGGUCCGGUAAGUCCGCUGUGAAAGUCGGGGGCUCAACCCUCGGAUGCCGGUGGAUACUGUCGGGCUUGAGUACGGAAGAGGCGAGUGGAAUUCCUGGUGUAGCGGUGAAAUGCGCAGAUAUCAGGAGGAACACCAAUAGCGAAGGCAGCUCGCUGGGACGUUACUGACACUGAGGCGCGAAAGCGUGGGGAGCGAACAGG